rfam:Schistosoma haematobium scaffold207_4, whole genome shotgun sequence.
AUCCAACUGAUGAGUCUCAAGUAGGACAAAAUGUGCAUCCUGGAU